rnacentral:lncRNA from 1 species
AGAACUAUGAAAAUGUAGUACCAAGAUAUCUAAGCACUUCUAGUGCCCUUCUAGCUAGGUGGAGAUAAUGGAAAGAGUAGCUAAUCUCACAGGCCCUGGACGUCGGCAUGGCACUGCAAGAGGAGGCCAUCCAAUGAUAACUUUACGCUGCGCUUGCCACUUCCCACGACUCACCGGCCAUCUCAAGCCACUGUCACCCCCCC